GUGAGCCGUGUGCGGUGAAAGUCGCAAGCUCGGUUCGAUGGGGGGGAUAUCAUCGAGAGAUGGUAUCCCUACCCUCC
rfam:Polaromonas sp. JS666, complete genome.